UUUUCACUUGUUAUCUUUUGCAAAGCAAAACUCUCAGGGCCAUCAUUAAAAGACAUGGGUAAUGCUCAAGUAUCAGAAAAUAUAAAUUUAUUUCUUUUCAAGCCAAUGGAACUUUGCUUUUCCUUUUUCGGUAUUCAAUUUAUGAAGUUAGCACAUUUCACCUUUUUUAAUUGCUUUCCUCAAUUUUCUUGUUUACUUUUCAAGGCAAAAGAUACUUUCCUGAUACUUUCUGUAUGACAAGAAAAAGCAGCUAGUUCUGAUAUACAAACCUUGAAGCCCUUCAUUGGUAGUGA
rnacentral:misc_RNA from 1 species